rnacentral:rRNA from 1 species
AACGAACGCUGGCGGCAUGCCUAACACAUGCAAGUCGAACGAGACCUUCGGGUCUAGUGGCGCACGGGUGCGUAACGCGUGGGAACCUGCCCUUAGGUUCGGAAUAACUCCCCGAAAGGGGUGCUAAUACCGGAUAAUGUCUUCGGACCAAAGAUUUAUCGCCUUUGGAUGGGCCCGCGUUGGAUUAGCUAGUUGGUAGGGUAAAAGCCUACCAAGGCGACGAUCCAUAGCUGGUCUGAGAGGAUGAUCCGCCACACUGGGACUGAGACACGGCCCUGCCUCCUACGGAAGAGAGCAGUAGAGAGUAUUGGACGAUGGGCGAAAGCCUGAUCCAGCAAUGCCGCGUAAGUGAUGAAGGCCUUAGGGUUGUAAAGCUCUUUUACCCGGGAUGAUAAUGACGGUACCGGGAGAAUAAGCGCCGGCUAACUACGUG